GCGCGGAUGGUCUAUCGGUUAUGAUUUCUGCCUUCCAAGCAGAUGAGCCGGGUUCGACUCCCGGUCCGCGCA
rnacentral:tRNA from 1 species